rnacentral:rRNA from 1 species
AGUGAACGCUGGCGGUAGGCCUAACACAUGCAAGUCGAACGGCAGCACAGUAAGAGCUUGCUCUUACGGGUGGCGAGUGGCGGACGGGUGAGGAAUACAUCGGAAUCUACUUUUUCGUGGGGGAUAACGUAGGGAAACUUACGCUAAUACCGCAUACGACCUACGGGUGAAAGCAGGGGAUCUUCGGACCUUGCGCGAUUGAAUGAGCCGAUGUCGGAUUAGCUAGUUGGCGGGGUAAAGGCCCACCAAGGCGACGAUCCGUAGCUGGUCUGAGAGGAUGAUCAGCCACACUGGAACUGAGACACCGUCCAGACUCCUACGGGAGGCAGCAGUGGGGAAUAUGGGACAAUGGGCGCAAGCCUGAUCCAGCCAGACCGCGUGGGUGAAGAAGGCCUUCGGGUUGUAAAGCCCUUUUGUUGGGAAAGAAAAGCAGCAGGUUAAUACCCCGCUGUUCUGACGGUACCCAAAGAAUAAGCACCGGCUAACUUCGUG